rnacentral:rRNA from 1 species
ACGGAACGCUGGCGGCAGGCCUAACACAUGCAAGUCGAGCGCGCCCUUCGGGGUGAGCGGCGGACGGGUUAGUAACGCGUGGGAAUAUGCCCAGAUCUGCGGAAUAGCCUCUGGAAACGGAGAGUAAUACCGCAUACGCCCUUCGGGGGAAAGAUUUAUCGGAUUUGGAUUAGCCCGCGUUGGAUUAGGUAGUUGGUGGGUAAUGGCCUACCAAGCCGACGAUCCAUAGCUGGUUUGAGAGGAUGAUCAGCAACACUGGGACUGAGACACGGCCCAGACUCCUACGGGAGGCAGCAGUGGGGAAUCUUAGACAAGUCGGGGAAACCCUGAUCUAGCCAUGCCGCGUGAGUGACGAAGGCCCUAGGGUCGUAAAGCUCUUUCAGCUGUGAAGAUAAUGACGGUAGCAGCAGAAGAAACCCCGGCUAACUCCGUG